rnacentral:rRNA from 1 species
GACGAACGCUGGCGGCGUGCCUAACACAUGCAAGUCGAACGAGCGAGAGAGGGCUUUCUUUCUCGAGCGAGUGGCGAACGGGUGAGUAACACGUGAGGAACCUGCCCCUAAGAGGGGGACAACAGUUGGAAACGACGGCUAAUACCGCAUAUGACCUCGUGACCGCCGGGGACAGAGGGAAAAGGAGGAAUCCGCUUUGAGAUGUCCUCGCGUCCGAGUAGCUUGUUGGUGUGGUAAUGGCCCACGAGGGCGACGGCCGGCAGGCGAACUGAGAGGGGGACCGGCCACCUUGGGACUGCGACAGUGCCCAAACUCCGGCAGGAGGCGGGAGUGGGGCAUAUUGCACAAUGGGGGAAGCCCGGAUGCAGCGGAGCGGCAUGGAGGAAGAAGGGCGGCGAAUUGUAGUCUCCUGUUGUUGGGGAAGAUAGACGGUAUACCCUAAAAAAGAGUCGGCUAACUCCGUG